CUACGGGUGGCUCCAGUGGGGAAUAUUGCACAAUGGAGGAAACUCUGAUGCAGCAACGCCGCGUGGAGGAUGACACUUUUCGGAGCGUAAACUCCUUUUAUAUAGGAAGAAGAUGACGGUACUAUAUGAAUAAGCGCCGGCUAACUCCGUGCCAGCAGCCGCGGUAAUACGGAGGGCGCAAGCGUUACUCGGAAUCACUGGGCGUAAAGAGCGUGUAGGCGGAUUAAAAAGUCAGAAGUGAAAUCCUAUAGCUUAACUAUAGAACUGCUUCUGAAACUCUUAAUCUAGAAUAUGGGAGAGGUAGAUGGAAUUUCUGGUGUAGGGGUAAAAUCCGUAGAGAUCAGAAGGAAUACCGAUUGCGAAAGCAGAUUACUAAUAAUAUACUGACGCUCAGGGACGAAAGCGUGGGUAGCGAACAGGAUUAGAUACCCGGGUAGUC
rnacentral:rRNA from 1 species